CCAGGACGUGUGGGAUGGCA
rnacentral:miRNA from 2 species